CCUACGGGUGGCAGCAGUGGGGAAUAUUGCACAAUGGGGGAAACCCUGAUGCAGCGACGCCGCGUGAGUGAAGAAGUACUUCGUUCUGUAAAGCUCUAUCAGCAGGGAAGAAAAUGACGGUACCUGAGUAAGAAGCCCCGGCUAACUACGUGCCAGCAGCCGCGGUAAUACGGAGGUGGCAAGCGUUAUCUGGAUUUACGGGGUGUAAGGGGAGCGUAGACGGCAGGGCAGGUCUGGAGUGAAAGGCGGGGGCUCAAGCCCUGGACUGCUCUGGAAACUGUACGGCUGGAGUGCAGGAGAGGUAAGUGGAAUGUCUAGUGUAGCGGUGAAAUGCGUAGAUAUUAGGAGGAACACCAGUGGCGAAGGCGGCUUACUGGACUGUAACUGACGUUGAGGCUCGAAAGCGUGGGUAGCAAACAGGAUUAGAUACCCCUGUAGUC
rnacentral:rRNA from 1 species